CUACCAUGCAGUCGACGGCAGCACAGAGGAGCUUGCUCCUUGGGUGGCGAGUGGCGGACGGGUGAGGAAUACAUCGGAAUCUACUUUUUCGUGGGGGAUAACGUAGGGAAACUUACGCUAAUACCGCACACGACCUACGGGUGAAAGCAGGGGACCUUCGGGCCUUGCGCGAUUGAAUGAGCCGAUGUCGGAUUAUCUAGUUGGCGGGGUAAAGGCCCACCAAGGCGACUAUCCGUAGCUGGUCUGAGAGGAUGAUCACCCACACUGGAACUGAGACACGGUCCAGACUCCUACGGGAGGCAGCAGUGGGGAAUAUUGGACAAUGGGCGCAAGCCUGAUCCACCCAUACCGCGUGGGUGAAGAAGGCCUUCGGGUUGUAAAGCCCUUUUGUUGGGAAAGAAAUCCAGCUGGCUAAUACCCGGUUGGGAUGACGGUACCCAAAGAAUAAGCACCGGCUAACUUCGUGCCAGCAGCCGCGGUAAUACGAAGGGUGCAAGCGUUACUCGGAAUUACUGGGCGUAAAGCGUGCGUAGGUGGUCGUUUAAGUCCGUUGUGAAAGCCCUGGGCUCAACCUGGGAACUGCAUUGGAUACUGGGCGACUAGAGUGUGGUAAGGGUAGCGGAAUUCCUGGUGUAGCAGUGAAAUGCGUACAGAUCAAGAGGAACAUCCAUGGCGAACGCAGCUACCUGGACCAACACUGACACUGAGGCACGAAAGCGUGGGGAGCAGACAGGAUUAGAUACCCUGGUAUCCACGCCCUAAACGAUGCAAACUGGAUGUUGGGUGCAAUUUGGCACGCACUAUCGAAGCUAACGCGUUAAGUUCGCCGCCUGGGGGAGUACGGUCGCAAGACUGAAACUCAAGGAAUUGACCGGGGCCCGCACAAGCGGUGGAGUAUGUGGUUUAAUUCGAUGCAACGCGAAAACCUUACCUGGCCUUGACAUGUCAGAACUUUCCAGAGAUGGAUUGUGCCGUCGGGAACU
rnacentral:rRNA from 1 species